rnacentral:sRNA from 1 species
CCUUGCGCGUGGAUCCGAGCGACCAUGGUGGCCCGGGUGUGGUCGCUGAUGAGGUUCCUCAUCAAGGGAAGUGUGGCUGGGGGCGCCGUCUACCUGGUGUACGACCAGGAGCUGCUGGGGCCCAGCGACAAGAGCCAGGCAGCCCUACAGAAGGCUGGGGAGGUGGUGCCCCCCGCCAUGUACCAGUUCAGCCAGUACGUGUGUCAGCAGACAGGCCUGCAGAUACCCCAGGUACUACGAGCUGGGAGCGAGGCCAGGGCUUGGCAGGUGGUCAGCUCUGAGGGGUCCCUCCAGCCCUGCACGAUGUUGUCCUCCAUAUUGAUGCUGGCCUGAUUCUCCGGCCUGUCCUCCUCCCUCCGCCUCUGGGGAUGGGCUGCUGAGCCUUUUCACCAGUUCUUUCUGCCCAUCUCUUUUCCCAGCUCCCAGCCCCUCCAAAGAUUUACUUUCCCAUCCGUGACUCUUGGAAUGCAGGUAAGGCACCCAGUUUCUUUGCUUGGAGGGAGACACCCCACUCUAGCCCCUCUCCCCACUUCCUGGCCAUUCCUUUCUGUCCAUACCCCUUCCUGCCCGACACGUGUCUCUUAGGGAUCUAAAAGGGAAAGGAGGCGGAGCACAGUGGCUCACGCCUGUAAUCCCAGCACUUUGGGAGGCUGAGGUGGGCGGAUCAUCUGAAGUCAGGAGUUCCAGACCAGCCUGGGCAACAUGGUGAAACCCCAUCUCUACUAAAAAUACAAAAAUUAACCGUGCGUGGUGGUGCGCGCCUGUAAUCCCA